CCCUUAGAGUUUGAUCCUGGCUCAGAAUGAACGUUGGCGGUGUGGAUUAGGCAUGCAAGUCGUGCGCGAAACGUAGCAAUACGUGGAGAGCGGCGAAAGGGAGAGUAAUACAUAGGUACGUACCCCCGGGUCUGGGAUAGCGGCGGGAAACUGCCGGUAAUACCAGAUAACGUCUCCGGACCAAAGGUGUGAUUCCACCUGGGGAGCGGCCUGUGGCCUAUCAGCUUGUUGGUGGGGUAAUGGCCUACCAAGGCAAAGACGGGUAUGGGGCGUGAGAGCGUGCCCCCACUCACUGGGACUGAGAUACUGCCCAGACACCUACGGGUGGCUGCAGUCGAGAAUCUUCGGCAAUGGGCGCAAGCCUGACCGAGCGACACCGCGUGCGGGAUGAAGGCCUUCGGGUUGUAAACCGCUGUCGUAGGGGAGGAAGGGUCCGUGAAGAACGGAACUUGACCGAUCCUAGGAGGAAGGGCCGGCUAAUCUCGUGCCAGCAGCCGCGGUAAUACGAGAGGCCCAAACGUUAUUCGGAUUUACUGGGCUUAAAGAGUUCGUAAGCGGCUUGGAAAGUGGGGUGUGAAAGCC
rnacentral:rRNA from 1 species